GAUGGUGGUACUGGAAUUGAUUUUGGACAUCACUUCAGUUCAAGGUUGAAGUUAAAAGGUCUUUUUGAGGCUUAGAAGAAGCAGGUAUUAAGUCAUGAUGCAGGAAUCUGCGACAGAGACAAUAAGCAACAGUUCAAUGAAUCAAAAUGGAAUGAGCACUCUAAGCAGCCAAUUAGAUGCUGGCAGCAGAGAUGGAAGAUCAAGUGGUGACACGAGCACUGAAGUAAGCACAGUAGAACUGCUGCAUCUGCAACAACAGCAGGCACUCCAGGCAGCAAGGCAGCUGCUUUUACAGCAACAGACAAGUGGACUGAAAUCUCCUAAGGGCAGUGAUAAACAGAGACCACUGCAGGU